UACGAAAGGUGCAAGCGUUACUCGGAAUCACUGGGCGUAAAGCGCACGUAGGCGGACUCGUAGGUCAGUUGUGAAAUACCUGGGCUCAACCCGGGAACUGCAGCUGAAAUCGCUUGUCUUGAAUACCUGAGAGGGUGGGGGAAUACCUGGUGGAGAAGUGAAAUUCGUAGAGAUCAGGUGGAACACCGGAGGCGAAGGCGCCUGCCUGGCAGUGUAUUGACGCUGAGGUGCGAAAGUGCGGGGAGCAAACAGG
rnacentral:rRNA from 1 species